rnacentral:tRNA from 1 species
GUUUUAAUAGUUUAACAAAAACAUUGGUCUUGUAAACCAAAAAUAAGAUUUUUCCUUUUAAAACU